GUUUGUUUGAAGAUUUAUUUAUUAUAUAUACAUUGUUCUGCCUGCAUGUAUGCCUGCAGGCUAGAAGAGGAUGUCAGAUCUCAUUAUGAAUGGUUGUGAGCCAUCUGCAGGUGCUGAGAAUUGAACUCAGGACCUCUGAAAGAGCAUCCAGUACUCUUAAACUCUGAGCCAUCUCUCCAGCCCUGUUCUUUUGUUUUGUUGUUUUGGGAAACGGUUUCUCUGUAUAGCCCUGGCUGUCCUGGAGCUCGCUCCUGGUGCCUCUGUCUCUGGAAUGCUAAGAUUAAAGUUGUGUACCACCAUGACCAGCUCUGUUUUUGUUGUGGUUCAGUUUUGAAACAUGGUCUCAUACUGUAGUCCACACUGCACAGAACAGUGGUGCAGCUGACCUUGAAUUCACAUCAAUCCUCCUGCCUCAUCUGAGUGCCUGAAUUACAGGUGAGAAGUACCACAUCUGGCUGACCAUUCAGCUUCCUAAAAACACCUUCAUUGAUCCAGUCGUGGGAAGAAUCCGUUAUGUCCACAUUGUCAACCCUACCACCAGUACCUCUCCUGCUCAAAUGUUAAGGCUUUCUGAAGUUGGGUACCACGCUACUGUUUAACAUUUAUCACCCCAAACUUGUUACCACGCUGAUGACCACAGUAGUGGCCUUUACUCCAUCGCCACCUGUCACAUCUAGUGUCCCGAUCAAUCUACUGUUUGCUCUUCUGGUUUUCUCUCUUUUAGGAGAAUAGAGGUCACCAAACAAGGUGACCAACGUAUUGGCAGGAGCUUAGGUGGCAAUUUGAGUGGAAGCCUGACCCCAGGACAGGGGUACUGGGAGUCGGGUAGGGGGUGGGAAAGAAUUGCAAACCGCCUGAGGAAUGCUCUGUGGUUAUUGAGUGAGGUAUGCAACGUACCUGGGACAAACGAAACACCCUCAAGUUGUUGUUUUAAGAAGAAACAAAUGAUUCCAUAGAAUACAACGAAUAUCAUAGACCCAGCACGGAUUCUAUUCAUUUUUACCCCGCUUCCGCAGUAAAGGGUGAUUUUUACACUUUCUGAGCAUCUACUCAGUGUAGGAAGUGUAGGUUUCAUGCCACUGAUAAAAGAAAAUUAGUUUCUUGACCAUAUCCAUUCUCCUUUACCCCCCCCCCAUUUGUCUCCUUGCCAAGUAGCCUUCCUGCUACUUUUGACUUUUUAAACAUUUAUUUUUUUCAAAAUAAAGUGUAGGUGUGUGUUUGUGCACGCCGCAGAUCUCCCCCGAACUUGAGUUAAGGGGCAGGGUGAGACGCGGGUUGUGGGUGAUGGGAACCGAACCCGCUUUCUCUGCAAGAGCGGUACUUUUGACCUCCGAGCCGCCUCGCCAGUCUCUCCCCUUUGUAUUUUCAUAAAGCACGGCGUUUUAAAAAUUCUGGUUUUAAGAAAGAAACAGAUAUUCCGAGGUUUCUAGCUCUUUGGGUUUUAAACGGUGGAACUUAGUUUUAAGAUGAAAAGAAAGGAAACACCUGCAGCUUGGACCCCCGAGGCCCCUCGGGCUGAGCCGCCCGCCGGGGCUGUCUGCGCGGUUCGCCUUCUCGCCAUCGGAAGGGCGGGUCGGGGAUCCGGGUUCGCUUCCCGAGGACGGCAGCCGCGGGGUCGCUCGGUCCGCCCCUGCCAGGCCGGUCUGCGCGUGCCGGGGGCUGGAUCUCACGGAGCGAAGCCCCGCAGAGGAUGCCGUCGCUCGCCCGCAGGCUUGGCCGUGCGAGCCCCUCGUGGGACCCUCGUCCAGUCGCUCCUGGAUCCACCGGUCCCCAGACACCGGCUCGUAGCCUUCUUAGCUGUGACAAAUGGUGCCGCCAUGAACAUUUGGAAUGGGCACAAUUUUGUGAGGUAUUUGUGUUGGGAACGGAAUAACAUCAACAGGGUAGAUAAAGGAUUGUCGGCGUGGCUUUACCUUCAAACUGCCACCUCCAGCAAGGCAGAGAAGUGGGCAGAGGUCUCUGUGAAGGGGUGUGGUUUCUGGAUCUAAGAAUGCUGGGCAUAUGCCACUUGGCUACUUGGAGGCCAACUGGAAUGAAUGUGCCUGGGAGUAAGGGCUGCCGUGGUCCUGGGCCACCUUUGCAGAGAGGCAAUGGGGUAUCAGCCCAAG
ensembl:lncRNA